AGUCUCUUCAUGGUUCUGAUGUCACUUUCUAUUGACUUUGGGUGUGUGUAUAUAUAUAUACUGUCUGUGACACAAUAUGUACAGAGUGGGAUGGCGGCAGCUGUAUAAGGUAAACAUUGGGGAAUAAUUGAACUGGGGUUUCCAAACUAAGAGAAAUUUCAUUCAAUUUUCUUUUUCAUUUCUAACAUGAACCAGUUUGUAUCCGCUGAUAUGAAGAAGCAGGUGAGGGUUGUACCUGUUUGUUUAGGAACAUGUAAUCAGGUUUGUAUCCCUGCUGGUCCCGUGCCCAAUGUGUGAUAAGGGUAAGUCCUUUGUUCAUCCUGGCACUGGGUUGGGAUACAAUAUAAACUGUGCUGUGUUGUGCUCCAGUGCUGCCCUCAGCGCCAGAAUUCAGUCUGCUCCAUCAAUCCUCAUUUGGCAACUGUGAAGAAGAACCUGCAGUAAUGCGCAUGCACCAAUCUCAGCAACGUUGCAGAAGAACUCUCAGUGCUGCGCAUGCACCAAUCUCAGCAACUUUGCAGAAGAACCUGCAGUACGGCACACGCACCAAUCUCAGCAACGGUGCAGAAGAACUCUCAGUACUGCGCAUGCACCAAUCUCAGCAACUUUGCAGAAGAACCUGCAGUACGGCACACGCACCAAUCUCAGAGGCCUCAGCCUCCUCUGUUUUGGGAACUUUUACAUAUCAAGAAACACAUCGUUCCAAAAUCGAUCUACCAUCAGGAUGGGCAAAAAGAAGUUUCCUGUUUCCAGGACUCGGGAUUUUCUACAUUUGCCAGAGUUCACUGAAGCAGAAUUGCAAGCUCCGGGCUGCUGCGUAACCUAUUGCCUUAUAUAUCAGGGGACCACGUGAAAAAAAAGCAAAAUUCUGGAAAACGUAAAAUCCAGGAAGACAUGAAUGGAAGUAUACAAGUAUAGGACUGUGAAUAAUCGGAGGAGAGUCCUGGAAAAUGGAAAUUCGCUGUAGCCGUCUAUAAUCUGCACUGCCAGCUGCUAUCUUCCAUAGUCCUGAUGCAGAACAUAAACACCCAAGAUAACAGAAACACCCAUGAAAUCCUGCAGAGGAACCCAAACACGUGUUCUCUGAAUGAGAAAAAUAGAAGCACGUCGGUUUCCCGCGGAAAGAAAAGAAGGAAAAAUCUGCAACAGAUAGAAGAGGUCAGCAGGAGCCACAACUGAUAGCAAAUGUGCUGCCAUAAAAUGCACAACUUCUACCUCUGAGGUUACUAGUAAUGAACAAGCCUGGUGAAUUUGGGUGAGUAAGUAUUAGUGGGGAGCAAGUGGCAGGUGGUGGAUUUGUGCGGCCGAGCAGAGACGAGUGGUGACAGUAGUAGAGCGUAAUCCCCACAAUCACAGGUAAGGCAACUUCGCAGGCUCCAGGUGAGUAACACACAAGUCAUUGGAGAAGCAGUUCACCUACCGGGGCAGCCAAACACUGGCAAUCACCCGAAACAAUGAUGCAGAAGUGCAGUUGCUAGUAGCUUUUCAUGCAGUACACUGCUAUUGACAACUGCAUUUGUGCCAUAAAGCAUCUAUAUUAGCAAAUCAACCUCACUAUCCCAGUUGCUAUUCUAUUUCAGAAGAGAUACAUUUGUGGGGUGCCCGACAGCUAAAUCCCACUAUAUACAGUUAAUGCUUUAAGGGGCCAGGCACACAAACACUUUAGCAUAUAGAAGCCAUAAUAUUCACAAUGUGGGUGGAGAUGUAGUUAUGCACUUUGUAUUUUGCUGUGUCAGUUUCCCCUUUUGCACCAAUGUAUGUGAGUCAGUUCCCAUGCUGGUGCCUUUGGCUUGCAAAAUCUUCAUUAUGAAAUGCAAGCAACAGCAAUUUAGCUAAAUGUUAACUCAUAUCCAAUUAUAUGCAUGUCAUAUACACAGUAUAUAAAUAAUAUAAUAUGGCUGCAUGCUGAUGCAUGUGUACUAUUCCUAGUGUUUUCUGAGCAGUUUUAGACUGCUAUUAUGUUAAUGCAAAGUCAGGGUGUCAGUUCUGCCUGCUCCACACAAUUGUAUGCAAAGGUGCAACAUACAGGGUGUAUAAAGUCUGCAUAUUUUAUAAAUGAUGUAUAUUGCAACGGUUCUUGAAAUUAUGUUUAUUUUCAAAAAAUGUUAUG